UACGGAGGGUGCAAGCGUUGUUCGGAUUUACUGGGCGUAAAGCGCGCGCAGGUGGGUGUGCAAGUCGGAAGUGAAAUCUCGAGGCUCAACCUCGAGGCUGCUCCCGAAACUGCUCGCCUAGGGACUGGUAGAGGCUGGUAGAAUUCCCGGUGUAGCGGUGGAAUGCGUAGAGAUCGGGAAGAAUACCUGUGGCGAAGGCGGCCAGCUGGGCCCAGAUCGACACUGAGGCGCGGAAAGCGUGGGGAGCAAAC
rnacentral:rRNA from 1 species